AUUGAACGCUAGCGGGAUGCUUUACACAUGCAAGUCGAACGAGUGGCGGACGGGUGAGUAAUAUAUCGGCACGUGCCUAGUAGCGGGGGAUAACUACCCGAACGCGUGGCUAAUACCGCAUAAUAUUCGAUGGGCCAAUAUCGGAUUAGCUAGUUGGUGGGGUAAAGGCUCCAAAAGGCAACGAUCCGUAGCUGGUUUGAGAGGACGACCAGCCAAACUGGGACUGAGACACGGCCAAGACUCCUACGGGAGGCAGCAGUGUGGAAUUUUGGACAAUGGGGGAAAUCCUGAUCCAGCCAUCCCGCGUGUAUGAGAAGGCCUUCGGGUUGUAAAGUACUUUUUGCAGAGAAGCGGUAUCUGCAGAAUAAGCACCGGCUAACUACGUGCCAGCAGCCGCGGUAAUUC
rnacentral:rRNA from 1 species